CCCUUCGGGAGCUUGCACAGGUGCUGCAUGGCUGUCGUCAGCUCGUGUCGUGAGAUGUCGGUUAAGUCCGCUAACGAGCGCAACCCUCGUCGUGUGUUAUACGUGUCACACGAUACUGCCGGUAUCAAGCCGGAGGAAGUGGGGAUGAUGUCAAGUCAGCAUGGCCUUUAUAUCCUGGGCUACACACACGCUACAAUGGCAGAUACAAUAGGUUGCGAAACCGCGAGGUGGAGCCAAUCCUCAAAGUCUGUCUCAGUUCAGAUUGUAGGCUGCAACUCGCCUGCAUGAAGUUGGAGUUGCUAGUAAACGCAGGUCAGCUAUACUGCGUUGAAUACGUUCCCGGGGUUU
rnacentral:rRNA from 1 species